GGUUUUCCGAGAAGUGGGCCAGGGCUGUCCCUGAGGAGGUAAGGGACACAGAGAGGCAGCUGGUGAGGGUCACUUACCCUGGAGGCCUUGGUCCAGCCAUGUGUCUUACCUCUGAAGAGGGAGGCAGUCAAGAACCCAGGAGCAUGGGGAUCUGGAAGCCCACUGCUAAGAGUAAAACUCAGCAGGGACCCUUGCCCCACACUCAGGAAUGGAGAGGCAAUGCCUAGUGAUGGCCCUUGAGUGCCAUUCAGCUGUGGCUCCCUGGCCCACUCUACCUGCCCCUACAGUGACUCGAUGAAGGUCCUGCUGGGAAGCAGGUCCUCCCUCCCCAGGGAAGUUGCCAGAAGGGGCGGCAGGAGUGGAUCAGACAGAGCCACAUGUCUACUGGGGGGGUUUCUCCUCCUUUUGUCAGAGCUCCCACUGGGCUGAGACUUUGACCUCCCAGAGCCACUGCGUUACAUCUGAGAGGCUGUGCUCAGAGUGCAGGGCUCCUUCCCAUGCCCACAUGCGCCCCUACCAGAGCCUCAAACUCAGUGGAAUUAUGAGUGUUUCUAGCGGCCAGCAACACCCCCUUCCACUUCUCAAUCUGGGCAGCGACCACCGUAGUGUCACAUCACCUGCUAGAACUGGGGCAACCAGGAUGGAGACACAACAGCUUUACAUCACCCCUGUCAGUUGCCUCAUGCACUGUUGUGUCCCAGUCCUAGAAGAGGACUGCCUCUAUAGAUCCUAUCCGUCUUUGGCAUUGGCCUCCCGUCAUCUGAGACUGGGGUGAGGCAGAAGUAGGGAGCAGAGGUUAGGUUAAGCCAAAGGCUCAUCCCGGCGAGCCUCCCCUAUCCCUAGCUUAGGAUGACAUGGCCUCUGCUGGCUUGAAGUUCGGGUCACUUACCCUGGAGGCCUUGGUCCAGCCAUGUGUCUUACCUCUGAAGAGGGAGGCAGGAAAACCAGUGGGGUGGGAGAGGCAAAGUACAGGAGCUAAGAUGAAGGCACCAGGACUGAAGCCACCGGGGUGAUACAAACCAGCUCAGAAGGGAAAGGCUAGGGGCCAUCCACCCCAUGCCCCAUCCCUCCAGUAGGGCUGGCGGCUCUGAGUCACUCCAAGAGGGGUUUGGCCCAGAUCCCACACCAUUUCUGCUUGAGGGGCCGACAGAGUUUGAGCAGAUGCACCCACAAGGCAGGGGAGGGAGUCCCGGCCCUUCCAAAACGGCCAAGUGUUCGGGGUAACUGGCAGUGCUAACAGGGGCUCCUCCCUACCUGGGAGUCCGGAAGUUGUCGGACGGGUGGCUAGCAGAGCUCGGGCGCGAACCUGGGAGGGAGGAAAGGAAGGGCCCGGCCGGGCGCCCGAGUGGGCGAUCGCGGAGCAGGGUCGGGGCCAGAGGCCG
rnacentral:lncRNA from 1 species